rnacentral:misc_RNA from 1 species
AGCAGCCGCGGUAAUUCCAGCUCCAAUAGCGUAUAUUAAAGUUGUUGCAGUUAAAAAGCUCGUAGUUGAAUUUCGGGAUCAAUAUGUUGGUCGUGCCUCGGUACGUACUAGCAUAUUGGUUUCUCCUUUCUGAAGAACCAUGAUGUCAUUUAUUUGGUGUCGUGGGGAAUCAGGACUGUUACUUUGAAAAAAUUAGAGUGUUUAAAGCAGGCUCACGCUUGAAUACAUUAGCAUGGAAUAAUGAAAUAGGACGUUUGAUUCUAUUUUGUUGGUUUCUAGGAUCGACGUAAUGAUUAAUAGGGAUAGUUGGGGGCGAUUAGUAUUCAAUUGUCAGAGGUGAAAUUCUUGGAUUUAUUGAAGACUAACUACUGCGAAAGCAAUUUGCCAAGGAUGUUUUCAUUAAUCAAGAACGAAAGUUAGGGGAUCGAAGACGAUCAGAUACCGUCGUAGUCUUAACCAUAAACUAUGCCGACUAGGGAUCGGAUGAUGUUAAUUUUUUCAAUGACUCAUUC